ensembl:lncRNA LINC00486 long intergenic non-protein coding RNA 486
UCUGUGAAAAGAGAGUCCUGCCAAGGGCUACGAGGCAGAAAACUGAUAUUAUUAAAGUGGUCUUCUGAACGCAACUCUCUGCAAGGUCCUAAGGGUUCUAAGUUGAAUAAGGCCCACUCCCUCCCUUCCAGGACUUUAGCUGAGGUUGGUUGGGGCAGAAGUCGGGCAAGACUCAUCGGAACGGAUUAACAGAGACAGAAUCCAGAGGCAACGGGGUGAAUUCCAAGUAUAGAAAAGACACACUUGGUCUGAGGGUAUGUUUCAGCUCAGGCAUGCUGCCAUCAGGACCACGUAAAGCUGGAUUUUUCUACGCUAGUCCAUUUGCACGAUCUGGACUCAGAAGAGAUUUAAGUUUCAAAUCUGGCUUUGUCAGUUAAUGCUUGUGGGAUCUCAACCACGUCACUGACUUCUCUGAGCAUGCUUCCAUAUUUCUACAAAGGAAACAAUAGGUGACUCUGCUGAGUUGAGCACUUGCGAGUACCAAGCAGUGAGGACCUGAGGCACAGAUGCUAACCAGCUUGCUGGAGAUCACACACUCAUGAGUGGCAGAGUGGGGCUUGGAACCGGGUAGCCUGGCUCUGGAGCCCUCACUCCAUCCACACACCAUGCUGGGACCCAGUCGAGUGACCAGCAGACCGGUUGUGUGGGUUAGGUGGAAUGGUGGAUAUAAACCACACAGCCCAGCUCCUGACCCAUGCUGGGCCCUCAGUAAGUUACUACUUUCAUUAUUAUACAUGCGUAGAUGAAAGUUGGGUGGUAAUAGUGAUUUUCCCUAAGAUGAUGGAACUUUACGUGCCUUUGCCUUUUCUUACCUGUAUAUUCCUGAAAUCAACAGGUUCUACUUUUGUCACAAGAAGAGAGGAAAUAAUUGUACUUUUUUUUUUUUGAGAUGGAGUCUCAAUCUGUCACCCAGGCUGGGGUGCAGUGGCACAAUCUCGGCUCACUGCAACCUCCGCCUCCUGGGUUCACGCCAUUCUCCUGCCUCAGCCUCCCGAGUAGCUGGGACUACAGGCGCCCGCCACCACGCCUGGCUAAUUUUUUGUAUUUUUUAGUAGAGACGGGGUUUCACCAUGUUAGCCCCUUGAUAUGGUUAGGCCUUGUGUCCCCACCCAAAUCUCAUCUUGAAUUAUAAUCCCUGUAAUUCUCAUAAGCUUCACAUGUCAAGGGAGAGACCAGGUGGAGGUAAUUGAAUCAUGGGGGUAGUUCCCCAUGCUGUUCUUGUGAUAGUGAGUUCUCACGAGAUCUGAUGAUUUUAUACGUGUUUGGUAGUUCCUCCUGAAUUCCUUCUCAUUCCUGCCGCCUUCUGAAGAAGGUGCCUUGCUUCCCCUUCACCUUCUGCCGUGAUUGUAACUUUCCUGAGGCCUCCCCAGCCAUGCUGAACUGUGAGUCAAUUAAAACUCUUCCCUUUAUAAAUUUAUAAAUUUAUAAAUUCUUUAUAGCAGUGUGAAACGGGACUAAUACACCCUUCUUGACUUGCUUAUGUGACUUGCUUAUGUGACUUGCUCAUUUCCAGCAUGAGGCAGGAAAGGAUAGAAGCCUUUCAGAGCCUGAGCCAAGUUCCUCCUCACAGAAGCACAGAGGACACUUACUCCAUCUCUGAAAAAGCUGCCCACACCCCACCUCCAUCCAGCCUUCCAAAAGCCACCACGAAUGACCCGUAGGAGGGGCAGAGUGUGCCACUUGCUACGGACCAGAACCUCUGGGGAGCGGGGAUCAUCUCUGUGUCUCUCUGCUUCAACUGCAUUUAAAAUGAACAUUCUUAAUGAUAAACCUUUCCGUGUGUAAAGAAGGGCGUGGAAAAAUGUAUGUACUGGAGACUCGGGUAAUGACUUUCUAAGUGUGGAAAAUUUUCCCCCAAAGUGUUUCCAAAUAUAGAAAAGUCACAUAAUAAAUGAUGAGGGCUCAUAAACCUUUCUGGCAGCAGUUGCAGGGGUCAGAACAAGGAAGAAGGAAUUCCCAGCUCCUAGGGCCUCGCAUCCCACACUGUCUUCUGGGCUACUGUGCAACCAAUGGUUCCGUAUCUGUACGUACCCAGGGGCUCCUUAGAUAAAUAAUUGAAGUGAAAUAUCAAAUGUGUUACUGGUUUUUUAAUGUCAC